AGAGCGAACGCUGGCGGCAGGCCUAAUACAUGCAAGUCGAGCGCACCUUCGGGUGAGCGGCGGACGGGUGAGUAACGCGUGGGAAUGUGCCCUUUGGUACGGAACAACUGAGGGAAACUUCAGCUAAUACCGUAUGUGCCCUUCGGGGGAAAGAUUUAUCGCCAUUGGAGCAGCCCGCGUUGGAUUAGCUAGUUGGUAGGGUAAAAGCCUACCAAGGCUACGAUCCAUAGCUGGUCUGAGAGGAUGAUCAGCCACACUGGGACUGAGACACGGCCCAGACUCCUACGGGAGGCAGCAGUAGGGAAUCUUGCGCAAUGGGCGAAAGCCUGACGCAGCCAUGCCGCGUGAAUGAUGAAGGUCUUAGGAUUGUAAAAUUCUUUCACCGGGAAGAUAAUGACGGUACCCGGAGAAGAAGCUCCGGCUAACUUCGCGCCAGCAGCCGAC
rnacentral:rRNA from 1 species